GUUACGUGUAGCUACAUGGAGAAGUCAGCAGAGGUCAUAGUACUUACGGGAAACGAGCUAGGGCAGUACCCUAGAGGUCUCACAAACAAGGAAGGAC
rfam:Zobellia galactanivorans strain DsiJT chromosome, complete genome.